CCGAUCGGAUUUCCGGUACGGAUCGGGUAGUGUAGUGUCACCCGAAACUACAACAACAGCAAACUGUCAUGGCGGCUCCCACAAGGCUCAUCUCAAGGUUGACGCUGAUCACCGGUGGAGGCAGUGGGAUCGGGCGGGCGGUGUGCCAGCGUUUCGCCUCUGAGGGCGCCUCCGUGGUGGUCGCCGACAUCAGCGAGGAGUCGGCCAAUGAGACGCUGGGGAGUCUGCAGAGCGACCUCAGAGGGCAGGUCCACACGGCGGCUGUGGUGGACGUGUCGUCUAAAGAGAGCAUCAAGAAGCUGUUAACGAGCUUGCAGACUCGGUACUUCCAGCCUCCCUCGGUGUGUGUGAAUGCAGCCGGCAUCGCUCAGGACGACUUCCUGCUCAACAUGGAGGAGGAGCAGUUUGAUAAAGUCAUCCAGAUCAACCUGAAGGGUUCAUUCUUGAUCACUCAGGCGGUUGCUCAGGCUCUGGUGGCCUGUGGAGCGCCCAAAGGAUCCAUCAUUACUGUGGGCAGCAUCGUGGGAAAGGUAGGAAACAUCGGUGAGGCUGGCUACGCUGCCUCUAAAGCCGGAGUGGAGGGUUUAACCAGGACCGCCGCCAAAGAGCUCAGCGGGUUUGGGAUUCGCUGUAACUGCGUGCUGCCGGGGUUCAUUACGACUCCGAUGACAGAUAAAGUGCCAGAGAAGGUUGUUAGCGAGGUACAACACGCACACACACACACAGAUCGAGUCCUUGGUGCCUCUGGGAAGGGUAGGCGAGCCGGCGGAGGUCGCUGAUGUCUGCGCCUUCCUCGCCUCGGACGACUCUCAGUACAUCACCGGAGCCAGCAUCGAAGUGACAGGCGGACUUUUCAUGGGUUAAAUCAGCCGUCCGGCGAGCACGUGACUGAAGACUGUGAGACUAGUUUCUACGUAAUUAUUAUUUUUUGACUCUGAUUUUGAUUUUGUGAAUGUUUUUGUAAUUUUGAUGUGAACCUGUCACAUGUUGUCUUAAUAAACACUAGAAUGUAAUGUUGAAUCUGAAUGAAGCUUUAAAAAAAGUUUUCACAUGUUUGUGUGUUUUUGGGGCACAGCUGGUUUGAAGCAGCUACUUUUGAGUUACAGGCAUGUUUUAGUUUUUAGUGUCUCCACACCAUCAUCACCACCAGAGCC